rnacentral:rRNA from 1 species
AGAGUUUGAUCCUGGCUCAGGAUGAACGCUAGCUACAGGCUUAACACAUGCAAGUCGAGGGGCAGCAUGGUCUUAGCUUGCUAAGGCCGAUGGCGACCGGCGCACGGGUGAGUAACACGUAUCCAACCUGCCGUCUACUCUUGGACAGCCUUCUGAAAGGAAGAUUAAUACAAGAUGGCAUCAUGAGUCCGCAUGUUCACAUGAUUAAAGGUAUUCCGGUAGACGAUGGGGAUGCGUUCCAUUAGAUAGUAGGCGGGGUAACGGCCCACCUAGUCUUCGAUGGAUAGGGGUUCUGAGAGGAAGGUCCCCCACAUUGGAACUGAGACACGGUCCAAACUCCUACGGGAGGCAGCAGUGAGGAAUAUUGGUCAAUGGGCGAGAGCCUGAACCAGCCAAGUAGCGUGAAGGAUGACUGCCCUAUGGGUUGUAAACUUCUUUUAUAAAGGAAUAAAGUCGGGUAUGGAUACCCGUUUGCAUGUACUUUAUGAAUAAGGAUCGGCUAACUCCGUGCCAGCAGCCGCGGUAAUACGGAGGAUCCGAGCGUUAUCCGGAUUUAUUGGGUUUAAAGGGAGCGUAGAUGGAUGUUUAAGUCAGUUGUGAAAGUUUGCGGCUCAACCGUAAAAUUGCAGUUGAUACUGGAUAUCUUGAGUGCAGUUGAGGCAGGCGGAAUUCGUGGUGUAGCGGUGAAAUGCUUAGAUAUCACGAAGAACUCCAAUUGCGAAGGCAGCCUGCUAAGCUGCAACUGACAUUGAGGCUCGAAAGUGUGGGUAUCAAACAGGAUUAGAUACCCUGGUAGUCCACACGGUAAACGAUGAAUACUCGCUGUUUGCGAUAUACUGCAAGCGGCCAAGCGAAAGCGUUAAGUAUUCCACCUGGGGAGUACGCCGGCAACGGUGAAACUCAAAGGAAUUGACGGGGGCCCGCACAAGCGGAGGAACAUGUGGUUUAAUUCGAUGAUACGCGAGGAACCUUACCCGGGCUUAAAUUGCAGAUGAAUUACGGUGAAAGCCGUAAGCCGCAAGGCAUCUGUGAAGGUGCUGCAUGGUUGUCGUCAGCUCGUGCCGUGAGGUGUCGGCUUAAGUGCCAUAACGAGCGCAACCCUUGUUGUCAGUUACUAACAGGUUCUGCUGAGGACUCUGACAAGACUGCCAUCGUAAGAUGUGAGGAAGGUGGGGAUGACGUCAAAUCAGCACGGCCCUUACGUCCGGGGCUACACACGUGUUACAAUGGGGGGUACAGAGGGCCGCUACCACGCGAGUGGAUGCCAAUCCCAAAAACCUCUCUCAGUUCGGACUGGAGUCUGCAACCCGACUCCACGAAGCUGGAUUCGCUAGUAAUCGCGCAUCAGCCACGGCGCGGUGAAUACGUUCCCGGGCCUUGUACACACCGCCCGUCAAGCCAUGGGAGCCGGGGGUACCUGAAGUGCGUAACCGCGAGGAGCGCCCUAGGGUAAAACUGGUGACUGGGGCUAAGUCGUAACAAGGUAG